GCCGGGGUAGCUCAAUCGGUAGAGCGUGUGGCUCUUAAUAUAUCAAGAGACAACCUCAAGGUCGAGGGUUCGAGCCCCUCCUUCGGCU
rnacentral:tRNA from 1 species